CACAACAACCGGAGCAAAAUUUGUGUUGACCAUAAAAUAUUUAAACUGAAAUAAACCCCAUAAGUAACGUUACAUAAUCCAGCGUAGAAAAAUAAUAUGCCGCGGUUGAUUUAUUUGUUGGCAUGUACAAUAAAAUUUAACGUCAGUUUUUGUUUUCUGUUUGCUUAUGAUUAACUCGUAAUUAUUUGUAGUUAUUAUCAUUUCCGACAAAAAAAUAAGAUUACAUGUGUCAUCAAGAUAUGGGCUGUAAAACACGAGAGGCGCUGUUGGGGAGGUGUUUCAAGCGGAGAUGUAUGCUAUUCAAGAAGCAAUGAACUUCGUUGAGGAAAACAGAUGGAGAGGCAGAUCAGCAAAUCUGCGCUCAUGGCCUUAGACAGCCCUCCAACCACUUCAAGGGUAGUUGGAUCUUGUAAACCUAGGCUGCGUAGUAUGUUGUCAGCGCAUUAUUUGCACUGUGGCUGCUAAAACACACAGAUCAUGCAACAACAACGGCAGCAAACUUGAGGGUCACAAUCUUCCGCCACAAGGACAUCCAUAAAUAAAUUUGGAUCUCACCCAGUGGGACGAUGCCAGGAACAGACGAGGAGCCAACAUAGACAGCGACCACGAGCUAAUUACCGGUGACGUCAAGAUCAAGCUGAAAUGCAGUAAGAUAAAUUAUACACCACGCAGGCAUAAGCUACUCAACGUCCAGCUGCUGCGCCAUCCCGCGACCAAAAAAGAAACAACUAGCGCCUUUCGCGAGAAGCUGCUCACCAACCACAACAACACUGAUUGGGAAGCUACAAACGCUACGCUCAGGCAGAUCGCUCAGGACAACUUGGCACAAUAAAGACCACCAGCGGGAAGCCAAUGAUCUCUGAAACCACUUGGGGCAUCAUUCAGAACAGAAACGAAAGCGAGCCCCUCUCAGCCUCUAGAUGGACUAAAAUUGAUGUUACCUUUCUAUUUUCCACUUUUUUUGAGCGAAGAACAUGGAAAAGGUAGGCAUCUCCGACAGUACAUUCUGCCCAGCAUGUGGAGAGGAGGAGGAGACGACGGACCACUUUCGAUGCAUCUGCCCGGCCUUUGUUCGACUCAGGCAUGAAGUCUGAUGCGUUAAGAAGCGACCUCCUUGGCACCGCAAGAUCCACUCAGAUUUCUUCGAAGAACGAGUAGAUGUAAAGAAAAUUAAAAAGGACACCCGAGUGCAGUACAAUGGCAAAAAGGUUCACUUGUUAAAUUGUAAAACAGUCCAUUUGUCACUUGUUUGAACUUACGUGUUUAUGUCUGUCUGACGCACUUGCGAAGGAAGUGUCGCUUUACGGGGCAGGAAAAGGCUUCAAAUCAGCAUGAAAAUAAUCUAAUCAAUAUAAAAUUUUAAUGUAUUUAUGAAAUAACUCGAAUUCACUAAAAUACUUACUCAAAUUCACGAA